CAGUCGCGCGGUAAUACGUAGGGUGCAAGCGUUAAUCGGAAUUACUGGGCGUAAAGCGUGCGCAGGCGGUUUGUUAAGACAGAUGUGAAAUCCCCGGGCUUAACCUGGGAACUGCAUUUGUGACUGGCAAGCUAGAGUCUGGCAGAGGGGGGUGGAAUUCCGCGUGUAGCAGUGAAAUGCGUAGAUAUGCGGAGGAACACCGAUGGCGAAGGCAGCCCCCUGGGCCAACACUGACGCUCAUGCACGAAAGCGUGGGGAGCAAACAGGAUUAGAUACCCCCGUAGUCCCUGUCUCUUAUACA
rnacentral:rRNA from 1 species